rnacentral:lncRNA from 1 species
GUAAUUUUAAAAGUUACAUGUCUGCGUACCUCCAUAUUCCCUUAAUAUAAAAUGGUAGUUGUAAUAUAUUUGGUGGGUUUCUAAAAAGCUGAGUUGAGUUGAUUUUGAAGCUAAGUAUACUCUCAUUGUUGUAUUGUUCUGUUUUCAACCUUAAGAAUGCAUAUAUGGUGCAUGUGUGUGAAAAAAAAGUAACAUUUGGGUUGAAUGAUUUAUAGGUAUUGUUU